AGCGAACGCUGGCGGCAGGCCUAACACAUGCAAGUCGAACGAAGUCUUCGGACUUAGUGGCGGACGGGUGAGUAACACGUGGGAACGUGCCUUUAGGUUCGGAAUAACUCAGGGAAACUUGUGCUAAUACCGAAUGUGCCCUUCGGGGGGAAGAUUUAUGGGCUUUAGAGCGGCCCGGGUCUGAUUAGCUAAUUGGGGAGGUAAAGGCUAAACAAGGCCACGAUCAGUAGCUGGUCUGAGAGGAUGACCAGCCACAUUGGGACUGAGACACGGCCCAAACUCCUACGGGAGACAGCAGUGGGGAAUCUUGCGCAAUGGGCGAAAGCCUGACGCAGCCAUGCCGCGUGGAUGAUGAAGGUCUUAGGAUUGUAAAAUCCUUUCACCGGUGAAGAUAAUGACUGUAGCCGGAGAAGAAGCCCCGGCUAACUUCGUGCCAGCCGCCGCCGUAAUAC
rnacentral:rRNA from 1 species